CUACGGGAGGCUCCAGUGAGGAAUUUUGCGCAAUGGGGGAAACCCUGACGCAGCAACGCCGCGUGAGUGAAGAAGGCCCUUGGGUCGUAAAGCUCUGUCAAUGGGGAAGAAGUUAUUAUGUGUUAAUAGCACAUUUUAUUGACGGUACCCAUGAAGGAAGCACCGGCUAACUCCGUGCCAGCAGCCGCGGUAAUACGGGGGGUGCAAGCGUUAUUCGGAAUUAUUGGGCGUAAAGGGCACGCAGGCGGUCCUGUCAGUCAGAUGUGAAAGCCCGGGGCUCAACCCCGGACGUGCAUUUGAAACAGCAGGACUUGAGUACGGGAGAGGAAAGGGGAAUUCCUGGUGUAGAGGUGAAAUGCGUAGAUAUCAGGAGGAACACCGGUGGCGAAGGCGCCUUUCUGGACCGAUACUGACGCUGAGGUGCGAAGGCGUGGGUAGCGAACGGGAUUAGAUACCCGCGUAGUC
rnacentral:rRNA from 1 species